rnacentral:snoRNA from 1 species
AUUCCAUGAUGAGGGCACUUUCGUAAGAACUCUUUGUAUCUUUUCCAUGCCUAAUACAAGGACUCAUUGUCCAUUUGUUGGAAGGUAGUGAUCUCGUUCCUCAACUU